ensembl:lncRNA
CUCCAAUGAAACUCCCGUCACGAUUGAGGUGAGAAACUCUUUGGUCCCAGGUCAAGCCAGACGACGCUACAGCACUUUUGUGAUCUUCAGAGGAAUUCUGCUGGGAGCAAUGAGACGACUCCAGGAAACCACCAACUUCAGUUUUACCUACACUGAGGACAAAAAUUACGGCCCCUUUCUGACCAGUGUGAAUGGUUUGUAUGGAGAUUUGUCUCAGCGCACCUACUGGCAGCUGCUGGUGGAGAAACCGGACGGGACUGUCAUAAUACCUGAUGUUGGUAUCGGGUGCUACAUUCCAACUGCAAAUGAUAAGAUCAUCUUUAAUUAUUCCAGCUUCUGAAGACGACUUGACUCUGAGCUGAUUAAUAAACAUAUAACCACGUAC